UACAGAGACUGCAAGCGUUAUUCGGAUUCACUGGGCGUAAAGGGUGCGCAGGCGGCCAAGUGUGUUAGGCGUGAAAGCCCGGAGCUCAACUCCGGAAUUGCACCUAAAACUACAUGGCUAGAGCAUUGGAGAGGGAAGCGGAAUUCACGGUGUAGCAGUGAAAUGCGUAGAUAUCGUGAGGAACACCAGAGGCGAAGGCGGCUUCCUGGACAAUUGCUGACGCUCAGGCACGAAAGCGUGGGGAGCAAACAGG
rnacentral:rRNA from 1 species